rnacentral:tRNA from 1 species
ACCUGGCUGACUCAGUCGGUAGAGUGCAUAAGUCUUAAUCUUGGGGUUGUGGGUUCAAGCCCCACUUUGGGUG